GAGUAAUGUCUGGGAAACUGCCUGAUGGAGGGGGAUAACUACUGGAAACGGUAGCUAAUACCGCAUAAUGUCGCAAGACCAAAGAGGGGGACCUUCGGGCCUCUUGCCAUCGGAUGUGCCCAGAUGGGAUUAGCUAGUAGGUGGGGUAACGGCUCACCUAGGCGACGAUCCCUAGCUGGUCUGAGAGGAUGACCAGCCACACUGGAACUGAGACACGGUCCAGACUCCUACGGGAGGCAGCAGUGGGGAAUAUUGCACAAUGGGCGCAAGCCUGAUGCAGCCAUGCCGCGUGUAUGAAGAAGGCCUUCGGGUUGUAAAGUACUUUCAGCGGGGAGGAA
rnacentral:rRNA from 1 species